AUAAAUCUCGGGUUGUUAGGUGUUAGAAUCCCUAGUUACCCGAAAAAUUUGAUUGGAUCCGAUACUUAGAAAUAACCAAUCAGAUACUUUGUAACAAAUGCAACACAAUCAGUGCGUUCAGUAAGUAUAACGUUUCAAGAUGGCGGAGCGAAUUGCAUGGUUAUUGUUUCUACUCGAUGGAUUCGCAGAUAAUUCGGAAAUAGAUCAGAUUGGGAUCAAUAACUGUAUUGCAUACGAUCAUUUACAUGUAUUACCAGGUGUGUGUUGCCAGUAAUGGUUGAAGAUAUGCCAAACAAAUUGUGCCUCUCUAUACAGACAGAUUUCAGGUCUCAAUUUCGACUUCAAAGGUCAACAUAUCACUGAUAUCAGGAAUUCUGUACAACUGUGGAACCAUGUAUGGUACGUGACCGCACAAUGUUGGUUGGCAAAAGGAUAUUGGAAUAAGCAAAGGGACUCAACAUUACACAGUCAUUUCAACAUGUAGAGUCUUGUCAGCAAUGAUGGAGCAGUACUUCAGAUUUCCAGAAUCUCGUCAUGAGCUGAAGAUCAUUGCCUAUGAAUUUCCUGAAUGAUGUAGAAUGAUUGGACUGUUGAUGGAACCCACAGUGCAUGUCCUGCUUCAACAUCUGAGCAUAGGUCCUUGUUUAUCAGCAGUUUAGUUCUUCAAGCAGUCUGUGACAGUUACUUGAAAUGUUUGGACAUAUGACCUGGAUGGCCAAGUUCUGUGCAUGAUGCCCAUUUAAAUAGGAACGGCCCAGUGGCGCAUUAAAUGGACAUUUUUCGAAUGUUCUCAAGGAUUCAGCUUACCGCCUGACAAGAAAUCUUGCUUUUUGUUCAGUAUCGAGGCCAUGGACAUUUGUAUCAUUUGCAAAAGAUACUGCGAUAUUUGUGCCUUUGUUCAUGCUUUAUAGUUGAUUAACAAUUGGAAGCCAUAACCUGUUUUUAAGAUGGUGUUAGUGGGACAAUGAAUUUUGUAAAGAUUUAAAGACUGGAAAAGAUAAUUAAAAGUCAAAAGAGUUCUGCUAUUGUUAAGCAUGCUUUAUUGAUUUGUAAUGUUAGAAAGAUAGCAUUAUUAACAGAAUAAAAUGUCCAUAAUUUGAA